GGUAGGGUAAUCUAUUUUUUCUGGAAACAGAAUCUGAAGCUUGUUUCUUUUGUGAAUUUGUUCUCUUUUAUUUUAGCAAAAUUUUGGAAAUAGCAAAAAGGGAGGAAACAUGAACACAAACCAAUAGUGUACAAUAUUUUGUGCAUUUGCUUAUUUAUUAUUAUGUUUUUUACUGUUGCUUUCAGAGAGGAAGGUUGUUAAGCUUUCACAAGAGUCCGUUCAUGUUGUCGUGCUCGGAUUUUCUUUUGCGAUUAUGAUAGAGAAAGAAAUUAAGGAAGAAUUCAUGUACAAAACUUUGUUUCUGAUGAUGGUGGCAUGGCAAUAGGGUUAAUCUGACCCGUGGCAGAUUAAAAACAUUUUGAUACCGGGCGUGGCAGAUUCACACGGCAGCUGGCAAAACUGCAGGCCAGGGAUGACAUAAGCAAUUGCACACCUGAUCAACUAGAUGCUGUGCAAGGUGAAAAAGAAUAGAAUCAAUGAAUGUGUGUAUGUUAA